rnacentral:rRNA from 1 species
AACGAACGCUGGCGGCAUGCCUAACACAUGCAAGUCGAACGAGACCUUCGUGUCUAGUUGCGCACGGGUGCGUAACGCGUGGGAACCUGCCCUUAGGUUCGGAAUAACUCCCCUAAAGGGGUGCUAAUACCGGAUAAUUUCUUCGGACCAAAGAUUUAUCGACUUUGGAUGGGCCCGCGUUGUAUUAGCUAGUUGGUAGGGUAAAAGCCUACCAAGGCUACGAUCCAUAGCUGGUCUGAGAGGAUGAUCCGCCACACUGGGACUGAGACACGGCCCAGACUACUACGGGAGGCAGCAGUGGGGAAUAUUGGACAAUGGGCGAAAGCCUGAUCCAGCAAUGCCGCGUGAGUGAUGAAGGCCUUAGGGUUGUAAAGCUCUUUUACACGGGAUGAUACUGACAGUACCGGGAGAAUAAGCUCCGGCUAACUCCGUG